rnacentral:rRNA from 1 species
GAACGCUGGCGGCGUGCUUAACACAUGCAAGUCGAACGAACCUUCGGGUUAGUGGCGGACGGGUGAGUAACGCGUGGGAACCUGCCCUCAGGAGGGGGAUAACGGUUGGAAACGGCCGCUAAUACCCCAUAUGCCGAGAGGUGAAACGAAUUUCGCCUGAGGAUGGGCCCGCGUCUGAUUAGCUAGUUGGUGGGGUAAGAGCCUACCAAGGCGACGAUCAGUAGCUGGUCUGAGAGGAUGAUCAGCCACACUGGGACUGAGACACGGCCCAGACUCCUACGGGAGGCAGCAGUGGGGAAUUUUCCGCAAUGGGCGAAAGCCUGACGGAGCAACGCCGCGUGAGGGAUGAAGGCCUCUGGGCUGUAAACCUCUUUUCUCAAGGAAGAAGACCUGACGGUACUUGAGGAAUAAGCCACGGCUAAUUCCGUGCCAGCAGCCGCGGUAAUACGGGAGUGGCAAGCGUUAUCCGGAAUUAUUGGGCGUAAAGCGUCCGCAGGUGGCCCUGUAAGUCUGUCGUUAAAGCGUGGAGCUUAACUCCAUUUAAGCGAUGGAAACUACAGGGCUAGAGUGUGGUAGGGGCAGAGGGAAUUCCCGGUGUAGCGGUGAAAUGCGUAGAUAUCGGGAAGAACACCAGUGGCGAAGGCGCUCUGCUGGGCCAUCACUGACACUCAUGGACGAAAGCCAGGGGAGCGAAAGGGAUUAGAUACCCCUGUAGUCCUGGCCGUAAACGAUGAACACUAGGUGUCGGGGGAAUCGACCCCCUCGGUGUCGUAGCCAACGCGUUAAGUGUUCCGCCUGGGGAGUACGCACGCAAGUGUGAAACUCAAAGGAAUUGACGGGGGCCCGCACAAGCGGUGGAGUAUGUGGUUUAAUUCGAUGCAACGCGAAGAACCUUACCAGGGUUUGACAUCCUGCGAAUCCCUUGGAAACGAGGGAGUGCCUUCGGGAGCGCAGAGACAGGUGGUGCAUGGCUGUCGUCAGCUCGUGUCGUGAGAUGUUGGGUUAAGUCCCGCAACGAGCGCAACCCACGUCGUUAGUUGCCAGCAUUCAGUUGGGCACUCUAGCGAGACCGCCGGUGAUAAACCGGAGGAAGGUGUGGAUGACGUCAAGUCAUCAUGCCCCUUACAUCCUGGGCUACACACGUACUACAAUGCUACGGACAAAGGGCAGCGAUCCCGCGAGGGCUAGCAAAUCCCAUAAACCGUGGCUCAGUUCAGAUCGUAGGCUGCAACUCGCCUACGUGAAGGAGGAAUCGCUAGUAAUCGCAGGUCAGCAUACUGCGGUGAAUACGUUCCCGGGCCUUGUACACACCGCCCGUCACACCAUGGAAGUUGGCCACGCCCGAAGUCGUUACUCCAACCCUUGUGGAGGAGGACGCCGAAGGUGGGGCUGAUGACUGGGGUGAAGUC